GUGUUCGCUUCAGCAGCACAUAUACUAAAAAAAUUGGAACAAUACAGAGAAGAUUAGCCUGGUCCCUGCACAAAGAUGACUAGCAAAUUCAUGAAGCGUUCCAUAUUUUG